GACAAGUGCCAAAAUGGCGAUGCCUACCACCUAGAACUGGAUUGUGCGCUCCAUUUCUUUCACCUCAAAGCUGGCCGCCACCGCUGCCACCUGCUCAGAGUGAAAUAAUGAAGGUGGUCAACCUGAAGCAAGCCAUUUUGCAAGCCUGGAAGGAGCGCUGGAGUGACUACCAAUGGGCAAUCAACAUGAAGAAAUUCUUUCCUAAAGGAGCCACCUGGGAUAUUCUCAACCUGGCAGAUGCGUUACUAGAGCAGGCCAUGAUUGGACCAUCCCCCAAUCCUCUCAUCUUGUCCUACCUGAAGUAUGCCAUUAGUUCCCAGAUGGUGUCCUACUCUUCUGUCCUCACAGCCAUCAGUAAGGUAUGACCAUAGACACUCAGGAGCUAGAUUGGGGAUGACAGACAAGGCCCCGCCUCCUUGACGGCCCUGAUGCUGUGACCCGUGAGGCUGGAUAGGCAGCACAUGAUGCCUCUGGCUGGCAUUGCUGGACUUCCAUGGGAGGGGGAUCCUGGCAAGUAGGGGCUGGUGCUUGGGAGCCAAUGUCCAGUGUUGAGGAUGCUGAGUCUGGAACCCAG
rnacentral:lncRNA from 1 species